rnacentral:tRNA from 1 species
GGACGGAUGGCCGAGUGGUUUAAGGCACCAAUCUUGAAAAAUUACGUACGUGAUGAGCGUACACCAUGGGUUCGAAUCCGAUUCCGUCCG